GUGGGGAAUAUUGGGCAAUGGGCGCAAGCCUGACCCAGCAACGCCGCGUGAAGGAAGAAGGCUUUCGGGUUGUAAACUUCUUUUACCAGGGACGAAACAAAUGACGGUACCUGGUGAAUAAGCCACGGCUAACUACGUGCCAGCAGCCGCGGUAAUACGUAGGUGGCGAGCGUUAUCCGGAUUUAUUGGGUGUAAAGGGCGUGUAGGCGGGACAGCAAGUCAGAUGUGAAAACCAGAGGCUCAACCUCUGGCCUGCAUUUGAAACUGUUGUUCUUGAGUGUCGGAGAGGUAAUCGGAAUUCCGUGUGUAGCGGUGAAAUGCGUAGAUAUACGGAGGAACACCAGUGGCGAAGGCGGCUUACUGGACUGUAACUGACGUUGAGGCUCGAAAGCGUGGGGAGCAAACAGGAUUAGAAACCCCAGUAGUCC
rnacentral:rRNA from 1 species